UAUAUUUUCAUAACAGUGUCUAAAAUAUAACAUUUUAAAUAUAAAUUUGAAGAAUACCAUUAAUAAUAAAAUAACAUCAAGAAGUUAAUAUGUUUCAUUCAUACAAGUCAGUUUGGAAUGUUUGAUCCUGACAAAAAAGAAGCGAGGUAAUCUCGCGAGAUUACACGAUACUGGAGAGUUUAACGGCUGUCUGCGUGAUCAUCGAGAAGUGCAUCGAGGUAAGGAAAUAUCAAGUCAAUAAGUCAAUGUUUAAAACGCGUAACAUAAUUUUAUUCACACAUAAAAUGUUGUAUGACAAAAAGCACGAUGCCAAUUAAUUGUGUUUUUCUGUAAGUUGUGAACGUAUCCGUUAUAAUGGUUGAUUCGCUAUUCCACGGGAUGUUCCCGCCGAAAUUGGACUACGGUUACAUUAAUAUGAUUGUAAUAUGAAUAUUAAUCAAUUAAUAUUAUAUCGGGUGUUAUCAACUUAACCACAUUGUUGUUUAUUGCUUCAGAAAGCACAUAAAUGUAAGGGCUUUUUGGACAACUGUUCGGUAGAAAAGCGUUGAUAUCGUAGUUCAGUCAGUUUAUCCGAGAGGUCUUACAGGCGCCACAGACACCUCUGUCAGAGUCAUUUGUAAAGAGGAGCAGCACGGCAGCUGGAUGAGUGCGGUCAGUUAAUUAAUGCUGCUUGCUUAAUUUCGUGUUACUGAUUAAGUGUUUAUACUUAAAGUUAGAUGAUAUGUUGGUGUUUUAUGGCUCGCGGAUUUGCAAUAACUGCAUUUAUCAGGCAAUCACACGUUACAUCACACGCUUAUGCUUGUACCUGCGGUCGCUCGCGCUGUAUCCAUGAUUUAAAGCAGAGAAUAGACUCUUAACUCCUUUGUAAGAAAAAGUCAAGCAGUAGCCCUUCAAAUUAAACAUAGUGAUGGUGAUCUUGUCAAUGCUGAGAUUUUAAUGCAUCAACAGCCAUUACAUUUGUCUGGAUCAGGAUUGAACAAGAAACAGACAGCAAGAGUUGUCAGGUCAGAAACGUGAUGACACACAAACAUAAGAAACUUCACAGGCGGCAAUCUCUUUUUCCACCGGUGGGUGCUCAUCACAACCUCUAGCUUUACUGGACGCCAGGUGCUCUGGAGCGCUCAAAAGCUUUGAAGAGGUGGAAAGCAGUGCAGUCAUGUUUUCGUGUGAUUUUAGAUGCGAAUUGUAAAGUUAAAGGCAGAUCACCAUGCAACUUGGUGAAGUCAUGUGUCUUUCCAGAUGCCAAAAUCUGUACCCCUCAAAAAGACUUUAUUAAAUGCCAUGAUAGCCAAGAUGAGCCUGAAGAGGAGAUUUGGGAAGAUGCUGUUUCAUAAGUCUUUGCUUUGCCAGAUUAUCUGUGGUAGGGGUGUCUGCCAACGUGAUGCCUUGCUGGUCUGGUUUGAGUUUGAAGUCUCUCACAGACAGUCCAGAAGGUCUGGAGUCCAUCUUAGCUUUCAUUGAUGCUGUCAUCAUAUUUUAAGUGCAUAAGCCAGAAUGGAUAGGUGGUGGUGGUCAUAAAAAGACUGUCAACUAAACCAACAACAAAAUUCAUAUUUGCAGUAAUAAAUAAAAUGACUUUUAAACAUGAUUUUGUUUUCUUAUUUUAUGAUUUUACUUUAUAUUUGGAAUAUUCCACUUUUGCACUACUAACUGGAAACUGUUUGAAAGAAUGUGUUUUUAUCUAUAAAAGAUAAAAUUCAAUGGUGAAUCAACGUUAAAAUGCCGGCUGGAAUAUCAAAAUAGCAUUAAAAUGACAUCAACAUCAUAACAUCCUGAUGUCAAAUAGAUGUAGAAUUGACAUCAAAAUGACAUCAGCAGAGGUCAAAAUCUUGACAUCAAAUUGACAUCGACACUUUGACGUCAAAAUGACUUUCAUUUUUGACCUAUUCUGUGACGUAAUUUUGACGUCAAUGUUUGAUGUCAAAUUGAUGUUAAAUUGACAUCAAAUGCCCGC